UUCUAACACAACAUAGCGUUAAUGCACCAGAUCCCAUUAGAAAUCCGCAGUUAAGCAUACUCAAGCUAGAUUAGUACUGGGAUGGGUGACCGCUUAGGAAUUCCUAGUGUUUUACAUG
rnacentral:rRNA from 1 species